GACGUAGGGCGCGAGCGUUGUCCGGAUUUAUUGGGCGUAAAGAGCUCGUAGGCGGCUUGUCGCGUCGACUGUGAAAUCCCGCGGCUCAACUGCGGGUCUGCAGUCGAUACGGGCAGGCUAGAGUUCGGUAGGGGAGACUGGAAUUCCUGGUGUAGCGGUGAAAUGCGCAGAUAUCAGGAGGAACACCGGUGGCGAAGGCGGGUCCCUGGGCCGAUACUGACGCUGAGGAGCGAAAGCGUGGGGAGCGAACAGG
rnacentral:rRNA from 1 species